rnacentral:pre_miRNA from 1 species
ACACCUCCCGAGGCUGCCGGUCCCCAGGCUGGGCUGGGCAAGUACCUGUUUGAAAGGCUCACCCUCAAGCACGGACAGGAGC